rnacentral:rRNA from 1 species
UGGCCUUUAGUAACGGCGAGUGAAGCGGCAAAAGCUCAAAUUUGAAAUCUGGUACCUUCGGUGCCCGAGUUGUAAUUUGGAGAGGGCAACUUUGGGGCCGUUCCUUGUCUAUGUUCCUUGGAACAGGACGUCAUAGAGGGUGAGAAUCCCGUGUGGCGAGGAGUGCGGUUCUUUGUAAAGUGCCUUCGAAGAGUCGAGUUGUUUGGGAAUGCAGCUCUAAGUGGGUGGUAAAUUCCAUCUAAAGCUAAAUAUUGGCGAGAGACCGAUAGCGAACAAGUACAGUGAUGGAAAGAUGAAAAGAACUUUGAAAAGAGAGUGAAAAAGUACGUGAAAUUGUUGAAAGGGAAGGGCAUUUGAUCAGACAUGGUGUUUUGUGCCCUCUGCUCCUUGUGGGUAGGGGAAUCUCGCAUUUCACUGGGCCAGCAUCAGUUUUGGUGGCAGGAUAAAUCCAUAGGAAUGUAGCUUGCCUCGGUAAGUAUUAUAGCCUGUGGGAAUACUGCCAGCUGGGACUGAGGACUGCGACGUAAGUCAAGGAUGCUGGCAUAAUGGUUAUAUGCCGCCCGUCUUA